CCUACGGGAGGCUGCAGUGAGGAAUAUUGGUCAAUGUGCGGGAGCCUGAACCAGCCAUGCCGCGUGAAGGCGAGUGCCCUACGGGCGUUAAACUUCUUUUGUGAGGGAGCAAUAAGGUCCACGCGUGGCCCGAUGAGAGUACCGCACGAAUAAGCAUCGGCUAACUCCGUGCCAGCCGCCGCGGUAAUACGGGGGAUGCUAGCGUUAUCCUGAGUUUUUGGGUUUUAAGGGUGCGUAGGCGGCUCUUCAGGUCAGCGGUGAAAUCCCGGGGCUCACCCCCGGGGCUGCCGUUGAAACCGGAGCGCUAGAAUUCCGAUGCCGUCGGAGGAAUGAGUGGUGUAGCGGUGAAAUGCAUAGAUAUCACACAGAACACCGAUUGCGAAGGCAUCUGACGAAUCGGAGAGUGACGCUGAUGCACGAAAGCGUGGGUAUCGAACAGGAUUAGAUACCCGAGUAGUC
rnacentral:rRNA from 1 species